rnacentral:sRNA from 1 species
UAAAGGUGCUACAUAGCUGACCAUAAUCGAAAUUAG